UACGGGGGGGGCAAGCGUUGUUCGGAAUUACUGGGCGUAAAGGGUGCGUAGGUGGCGUCGUAAGUCGGGUGUGAAAUUUCGGAGCUCAACUCCGAAACUGCAUUCGAUACUGCGGUGCUUGAGGACUGGAGAGGAGACUGGAAUUUACGGUGUAGCAGUGAAAUGCGUAGAGAUCGUAAGGAAGACCAGUGGCGAAGGCGGGUCUCUGGACAGUUCCUGACACUGAGGCACGAAGGCCAGGAGAGCAAACGGG
rnacentral:rRNA from 1 species